GAAACAAAACAGUGUGCACUUCUGGCGGGCUCCUGGCUCCUGGCUCCAGGCUCGGAGGAGGGAGCCUGCCAUCGUUGUGGACAGCAGAGGCUGAUUCACUGAAGUACAGUUUAAUCUGCUUUGUAGAAGUGAUGGAUUCAGACCAAGAUGGCUGACACAGUAUCACAAUGACUUAACCAACCAGAAACAAAUCACUGCUGGAAGUGACACCAUCCUCCUUGGCAGGCAUGGUCACCAACUGGGCUGUGUGCCAUAUGGACACCGAGGGCUGGGGCACUGCUGAAGCAUUAGCUUCUUGGCUGAACCUAAGCCUUCAAUAAAGCUUUGCUUCCCGCACCCCCAUCUGUAUGUAAGCAUCCUGGAGGCGCUGGAGAGAAAGCCCACAGUAGCACACUAACAGGCCCUUGAGGAUGCCUGCCUGUAGGCUGAAUGUGCAACCUGCUCGCUGCCUUCCAUGGCAAGGGUUUGUACAGGGAUGUUCAAGUUAAGGCUCUUGCAAUGGGGAGAUUAUCCAGGAUUAUCAAAGUGAGCUUGAUGUGAUGACAAAGAUCCUCAAACAUGGAACAGGGAGAGCAGGGAGGCAGAAAGAUCAGUGUUAUCAUGCAGCAGUCGAGAUAGACUGGCUUUGGAGAAGGCGGAAGAAAGCAGGGGCCAAGAGGUUCUAGCAGCCUCUAGAAGCUGGGAAGGGCAAGAGAAUGCAUUUUAAAAUUUUAAUUGUAUUUAUUUAUUUAUUUUAAAGAGAACAAAACAAAUCAAAACAGAACAAUGCAAGCAAUGCAAGACUUCAAGAAAAGACCACAGGAAAUCAACGAUGGCUAUCAUAAUGUCCCUUUUUUUCUUCGAAAUAGCUGUCUAUACCUUCACACACAAUAAAUUUUUAAAAACACCAAAAUGGAAUAAAACCAAUCAAAAGAAUAAAAGCAUUAUGAGAUUUCAAAACAAGGUAGUGGGAAAUGAACAAUGGCUACUAUAACAUCUCAAAAUAGCUGCCCAUGCCACCACCCAUAAUAAAAUCAAAACGAAACAAAAUAAAAACAAUCAAAACAAAAGAAUAAAAAAAUUAGAGCACUUCAAAACUAGAUGACAGGAAAUAACAAUGGCUGCCAUAAUGUCUUGUUUUCUUUAAAAUAGCUGUCCAUGCCAUCACCCAUAAUAAGAUCAAACAAUAAAGAGAACAAAUUUUAAUGGAGGGCUUCAGAAAGGACCACAGUCCUGCCAGCGCCUUGAUUUCAGCAGCAUGAGACCCAUUUGGACUCACUUUUAAACUGUAGCACGUUGUAUCUGUGUGGUGUGAAGUCUGGAGCAGCAGCAAGGAGAAACCAACAGAGUACCACCUCUCCUGGGUACAGGCAGUUUCCCACGAGGUCUUUCUGAUUAUCAAAGAAAGGCUGCCUGGCCCAGGCCCUGCAUCUCCACAAAGCCUUGAGAUUUCCAUGCAGGACGCCCUGCUAACUCCACGUGGCUCGAAUCUGCAGCCGUAAACACACAACUCGACAUACUGAAGAGCGAGGUAGCUAAAAUCCUUUGAGCUCUUUAAGGUCCUGUCUUCUGUGGCUUAUUGUGGUAGCCAGGGUUACUGAGGAUGGUUUGUUUGAACUGCUGUGAGUCAGUCUAGAGCUCUGACAACAUUAGAUUAUGUUGAGGUUGAAAUAAAUGUUUAUAGUUCUUCCAUCA